rnacentral:tRNA from 4 species
GCACCCGUAGCUCAAUUGGAUAGAGCGUUGGCCUCCGGAGCCAAAGGUUGCAGGUUCGACCCCUGCCGGGUGCACCA